rnacentral:rRNA from 1 species
AGUGAACGCUGGCGGUAGGCCUAACACAUGCAAGUCGAACGGCAGCACAGUAAGAGCUUGCUCUUACGGGUGGCGAGUGGCGGACGGGUGAGGAAUACAUCGGAAUCUACUUUUUCGUGGGGGAUAACGUAGGGAAACUUACGCUAAUACCGCAUACGACCUACGGGUGAAAGCAGGGGAUCUUCGGACCUUGCGCGAUUGAAUGAGCCGAUGUCGGAUUAGCUAGUUGGCGGGGUAAAGGCCCACCCAGGCGACGAUCCGUAGCUGGUCUGAGAGGAUGAUCAGCCACAAUAGAACUGAGACACGGUCCAGACGCCUACGGGAGGCAGCAGUGGGGAAUAGUGGACAAUGGGCGCAAGCCUGAUCCAGCCAUACCGCGUGGGUGAAGAAGGCCUUCGGGUUGUAAAGCCCUUUUGUUGGGAAAGAAAAGCAGCAGGUUAAUACCCAGCUGUUCUGACGGUACCCAAAGAAUAAGCACCGGCUAACUUCGUG